ensembl:snoRNA
UGCCACAGUGAUGGCUGACCAGGGCCCCUGACCCAUACAGGCUUCUGCUGUGGGAGUGAUAGGCCAGCCCUGGUGUCUGAGUGAUU